rnacentral:rRNA from 1 species
GACGAACGCUGGCGGCGUGCUUAACACAUGCAAGUCGAACGGAAAGGCCCUGCUUUUGUGGGGUGCUCGAGUGGCGAACGGGUGAGUAACACGUGAGUAACCUGCCCUUGACUUUGGGAUAACUUCAGGAAACUGGGGCUAAUACCGGAUAGGAGCUCCUGCUGCAUGGUGGGGGUUGGAAAGUUUCGGCGGUUGGGGAUGGACUCGCGGCUUAUCAGCUUGUUGGUGGGGUAGUGGCUUACCAAGGCUUUGACGGGUAGCCGGCCUGAGAGGGUGACCGGCGACAUUGGGACUGAGAAACGGCCCAGACUCCUACGGGAGGCAGCAGUGGGGAAUAUUGCACAAUGGGCGGAAGCCUGAUGCAGCAACGCCGCGUGCGGGAUGACGGCCUUCGGGUUGUAAACCGCUUUCGCCUGUGACGAAGCGGGAGUGACGGUAAUGGGUAAAGAAGCACCGGCUAACUACGUG